AGAGCGAACGCUGGCGGCAGGCCUAACACAUGCAAGUCGAACGGACCUUCGGGUCUAGUGGCGCACGGGUGCGUAACGCGUGGGAAUCUGCCCUUGGGUUCGGAAUAACAGCGAGAAAUUGCUGCUAAUACCGGAUGAUGACGAAAGUCCAAAGAUUUAUCGCCAAGGGAUGAACCCGCGUAGGAUUAGCUAGUUGGUGAGGUAAAGGCUCACCAAGGCAACGAUCCUUAGCUGGUCUGAGAGGAUGAUCAGCCACACUGGGACUGAGACACGGCCCAGACUCCGUACGGGAGGCAGCGAGUGGGGUAAUUUGGACAAGUCGGGGGAAACCCUGAUCCAGCCAUCCCGCGUGUGCGAGUGAACGGCCGUUCGGGUAGUAAAGUCGUACGUUUGGCGUAGGGAAGAACGG
rnacentral:rRNA from 1 species